CAGAGCCCGUUAAGGGGUGAUGGCGUGCCUUUUGUAGAAUGAACCGGCGAGUUACGAUAUGAUGCGAGGUUAAGUUGAAGAGACGGAGCCGUAGGGAAACCGAGUCUUAAUAGGGCGCAUUAGUAUCAUGUCGUAGACCCGAAACCAUGUGACCUACCCAUGAGCAGGUUGAAGGUGAGGUAAAACUCACUGGAGGACCGAACCAGGGCACGUUGAAAAGUGCUUGGAUGACUUGUGGGUAGCGGAGAAAUUCCAAACGAACUUGGAGAUAGCUGGUUCUCUCCGAAAUAGCUUUAGGGCUAGCGUCGAUGUUAAGUCUCUUGGAGGUAGAGCACUGUUUGGGUGAGGGGUCCAUCCCGGAUUACCAAUCUCAGAUAAACUCCGAAUGCCAACGAGAUAUAAUCGGCAGUCAGACUGCGAGUGCUAAGAUCCGUAGUCGAAAGGGAAACAGCCCAGACCACCAGCUAAGGUCCCCAAUGUCGUACUAAGUGGAAAAGGAUGUGGGGUUUCAUAAACAACCAGGAUGUUGGCUCAGAAGCAGCCACCAUUUAAAGAGUGCGUAAUAGCUCACUGGUCGAGAGACCCUGCGCCGAAGAUUCCCGGGGCUAAAGUACGAAACCGAAGCUGUGGCUGUAUACGUAAAGUAUACGGGGUAGGGGAGCGUUCCCAUAGGGUAGAAGUCGAACUGGAAGGUUCGGUGGACUUGUGGGAAGUGAGAAUGUUGGUAUGAGUAGCGAAAAGAAAGGUGAGAAUCCUUUCCACCGAAAGCAUAAGGAUUCCUGAGCAACGAUCGUCGUCUCAGGGUAAGUCGGGACCUAAUCCGAGGCAGAGAGCGUAGGAGAUGGACAACUGGUUGAUAUUCCAGUACCGGUAGUAAUUGUUUGAGCAAUGGAGUGACACAGAAGGGCAGGCAAGCAUGCGAAUGGAAGAGCAUGUGUAAGCGUGUAGGGUGGUGCAUAGGCAAAUCCGUGCACUGAAAGCCUGAGGCGUGAUGCGGAGUGAGCAGAGAUGCGAGCGAAGUUGUUGACCCCACACUGUCGAGAAAAGCUUCUAGUGAGAGAGCUACCGCCCGUACCGUAAACCGACACAGGUAUGCGGGGAGAGAAUCCUAAGGUGCGCGGGAGAACCCUCGUUAAGGAACUCGGCAAAAUGUACCCGUAACUUCGGGAUAAGGGUAGCCACUGUUGUGAAGUCCCAUGCGGAUGGAGCAUAGAGUGGUCGCAGAGAAGAGGCCCAAGCGACUGUUUACCAUAAACACAGGUGCCUGCUAAAGCGAAAGCUGACGUAUAGGUGCUGACACCUGCCCAGUGCCGGAAGGUUAAGGAAGGAUGUUCGGAUUAGUCCAAAGCAUUCGACUGAAGCCCCGGUGAACGGCGGCCGUAACUAUAACGGUCCUAAGGUAGCGAAAUUCCUUGUCGGGUAAG
rnacentral:rRNA from 1 species